CCGGACGGGUGAGUAACACGUACCCAACCUGCCGUCUACUCUUAGACGUCCUUCUGGAAAGGAAGUAAUUAUACAAGAUGGCAUCAUGAGUCCGCAUGUUCACAUGAUUAAAGGUAUUCCGGUAGACGAUGGGGAUGCGUUCCAUUAGAUAGUAGGCGGGGUAACGGCCCACCUAGUCUUCGAUGGAUAGGGGUUCUGAGAGGAAGGUCCCCCACAUUGGAACUGAGACACGGUCCAA
rnacentral:rRNA from 1 species